CUCCAGCUCCAACUCUGGCUCUAACUCAAAAUUGUACUCCUAGGAGUAGGUGAUCAAAAUCUUAGGUUAUAAAAAUAUUCGAGUAAGUACUCCUAAGAGUACGUACUCGAAAUUUUUGAGUACGAACUCGGACUUUUUUUCAAUUACACAAGCGGUCUAUUUGGAACUCUUUCGUAAUGGCGGCGCCCAUGUAAUAUUUACGUUGGUGAUUUGUAGCAGUAUUCCAAUGGGUAUAGUGACAAUUCACUAACAGCAAGCGAACACCAGAAGAAUGCAGGAAAAAAUACAACAAUGCUAAACAAAGGACCAAAGAGAAAAUAGAUUUUUUAAAGAAAGAAUGCAGAAAGACAGGUGGCGGACAAG